GAUGAACGCUGGCGGCGUGCCUAAUACAUGCAAGUCGAGCGAACGGACGAGAAGCUUGCUUCUCUGAUGUUAGCGGCGGACGGGUGAGUAACACGUGGAUAACCUACCUAUAAGACUGGGAUAACUUCGGGAAACCGGAGCUAAUACCGGAUAAUAUUUUGAACCGCAUGGUUCAAAAGUGAAAGACGGUCUUGCUGUCACUUAUAGAUGGAUCCGCGCUGCAUUAGCUAGUUGGUAAGGUAACGGCUUACCAAGGCAACGAUGCAUAGCCGACCUGAGAGGGUGAUCGGCCACACUGGAACUGAGACGCGGUCCAGACUCCUACGGGAGGCAGCAGUAGGGAAUCUUCCGCAAUGGGCGAAAGCCUGACGGAGCAACGCCGCGUGAGUGAUGAAGGUCUUCGGACCGUAAAACUCUGUUAUUAGGGAAGAACAUAUGUGUAAGUAACUGUGCACAUCUUGACGGUACCUAAUCAGAAAGCCACGGCUAACUACGUG
rnacentral:rRNA from 1 species